rnacentral:rRNA from 1 species
AGGGUUUGAUUAUGGCUCAGGAUGAACGCUGGCGGCGUGCCUAACACAUGCAAGUCGAGCGAGAAGCUUUUAAAUGACGCUUCGGUAGAUUUUAGAAGUGGAAAGCGGCGGACGGGUGAGUAACGCGUAGGCAACCUGCCCUUUGCAGAGGGAUAGCCUCGGGAAACCGGGAUUAAAACCUCAUAACACCUAAGUAAGACAUCUUAAAUAGGUCAAAGAUUUAUCGGCAAAGGAUGGGCCUGCGUCUGAUUAGUUAGUUGGUGGGGUAACGGCCUACCAAGGCGACGAUCAGUAGCCGACCUGAGAGGGUGAUCGGCCACAUUGGAACUGAGACACGGUCCAA